GGGGACAUAGCUUAAGUGGUUGAGCUCUUGCCCAGCAAGCCUGAGACCCUGGUUUCAAUUCCCAGUAUCACCA
rnacentral:tRNA from 1 species